GCUUUGAACCAGUUAACUAGAAAUUUAGCAUGUGAAUGGGCAAAAGACGGCAUAAGAGCCAAUGCUGUUGCACCUAAUGUUGUCAAGACUCCUUUGUCUCAAUCUGUAAUAUAAAAAAAGUCAACAUUUACAUUUUAGUUUUUAUUUUUUAUGUGAAUGUAACAAUCUCAAUUAUAUUCCUCUAAUUAAUUCUCAAUUGUGUGUUCUUGAAGUAUCUCGAGGACGUCGGUUUCAAGGAGGCAUUGUUCAGUAGAACUCCACUUGGUCGCGCUGGAGAGCCGAAUGAAGUUGCAUCACUAGUGGUCUUCUUGUGUCUACCAGCAGCUUCUUAUAUUACUGGUCAAACCAUUUGUAUUGAUGGUGGUUUCACUGUUAAUGCCUUCUCUUAUAAGCCACAGGCUUGAUAAUGGCCUUGUUGUGUUUUGUCUAAAUGUCUUAUGCAAAACUAUGCUCAAUCAACUUUUGUGGGAUUGGAUUUUAAUUGUGGUUCGGUAUGUGGUUCAUAUCUUUGUCACGAGAGAGAAACACAUGCAAAUCGCCUAAAUUAUAUGUGUGGCAAGCUCAACAUUCUUUUAUGUAAAUCAUAAUUUAAAGAAACUAAGCAUACAAUGGGUUAAGCUGGCUUUAAGUAUUUGAACAAGAAGAUGUUUCUGAUAACAAAGAGUAAGCCAAAAGCAGAUCACAACAUGCUUUAAAAUCCCUAUGAAAUAAUUGGAGAAAUGUCACAAACCAUCUUUAUAUAUAUAAUUCAAAGGUGAACGCAAAAGCUUGAUAGUUCUUUCCUUUAUUGUCUGUUUCACUAAAGAUAUCAUUACAAAUUAAGUCAAGAUCCAUCAUCUCUUACAUCACUAUUUGUCACACGAAAAGUAUGAGAGAAACAUUUUCCUAUUUGCUUGCCAUUAUAAUAAGCUUCAUAUAGGGAAGGAAGCAAGGAAAAAAUGAGAUAAAGAGAAAAGAAUGAGUAUUGGGGGAAGUAGUAUAGUAGUAGAGAGUCGUAGAAGAGUUAUCUUCUAAGGUCAUUAGUGAUGAAGAGUUCAUAGUUAGUUUACUUUGUUCAAGGUGGAUAAGCAAUAGGGUUUAGGCCUUUGUUAUUAUCAGACUUCUACUUUUGGAAGACACUAAAAAGUUGUUAUCUAGCCAUAAGAAAGUUUUGGCCAAAGGUUUUGACUACAAAAUGUCAUUUUUGCCGGGGCCACUAACUUAGAUAUUUUUGUAAUGUUCUCUCUUACGGCUACAUAAUAUUUCCACCACACAUACAAAAACAUACUCCACACUUAUCUGAUCCAUAUUCAUUGUAUAUAUAGUUUGUGGCAUUUCUGGUAUAUGGUCACUAGAAAAAUGGACAAAAGAUUAUGGAGUCUUCAAGGUAUGACUGCUCUUGUGACCGGUGCAGCCAGCGGAAUCGGGUUCGUAGUUCUUCUCUAUUCUCUUAAGUUUAUGUUCUGCUUCGAUAUAACAACCUGAAUGGUCAAGAUUACAUGGAAUUCAUAUUUGUGGAAUGUUUUAGUUAUGCCAUAGUAGAAGAGUUAGCUGGUUUUGGAGCUAAAAUCCACAUAUGUGACAUAUCCAAAACUUUGCUCAAUCAAAGUUUAAGCGAAUGGGAAAAUAAAGGGUUUCAAGUGAGUGGUUCAGUAUGUGAUGUAACCUCUCAUCCUGAGAGAGAAAAACUGAUGCAAACCGUCUCCUCGAUUUUCGAUGGCAAACUCAACAUUCUUGUAAGUGAAUGAUCUUUAUAUAGAAACAACUAAGCAAACUCUACAAAACAAAAAGAUAACUUAAGAGAGAAUUUUUGUUCAACAUAGGUAAAUAACGUGGGGGUACUUCGCGGAAAGCCAACAACAGAAUAUGUGGCAGACGAUUUCACUUUUCAUAUAUCAACUAACUUGGAAGCUGCUUACCAUUUUUGUCAACUUUCACAUCCUCUCUUAAAGGCUUCAGGCUAUGGAAGCAUUGUAUUCCUUUCCUCUGUUGCUGGGGUUGUAUCACUAAUUGACUGUGGAUCCAUUUAUGGUCUAACAAAAGGUAAAUUACUCCAAAUCUGACUAAUCAACAAAGAGUUUUUUACCAAAAAAAACAAAACAAAGAGUUUUCUGCUUCCUUAUUUUGUAGUGUUUUGUUGACUUCUUUUAUAGGAGCUCUAAAUCAAUUAGCUAGAAACUUGGCAUGUGAAUGGGCAAAAGACGGCAUAAGAGCCAAUGCUGUUGCACCUAAUGUUGUCAAGACUGCUCAGUCUCAAUCGGUAAAAUAAAAAUAACUUUUACAUCUUUUUAUUUUUGUGGAUUUAACGACAUCAAUUUCUCUAAUUAUCUCUCAAUUUUUGUGUUAAAAGUUUCUUGAAGACGUCAGUAAAAAGGAGGGAUUGUUGAGUAGAACUCCACUUGGCCGUGUUGGAGAGCCGAAUGAAGUUUCAUCACUAGUGGUCUUCUUGUGUCUACCUGCAGCUUCUUAUAUCACAGGUCAAACCAUUUGUGUUGAUGGAGGUCUCACGGUUAACGGUUUCUCCUAUCAACCACAUGCUUGAGAAAUAGUCUUGUCGCUCUCAAAGUUCUAUAUCUAAUAAAAGUUCUCAUUCUAUGAGUUUAUAAACGUAAACAUCAAUGAGUUUGCAAUUCCAUAUUGGAGAUACUAAUCUCGCACAUAUACAAGAUUCGGUUACACCCGCUACGCCAACAACUCACACCAAUGUGAUCUCUCAUUCUCUCUCAUAAAUGAAAUGUUAUACUAUUUUUUGAGAAUUGUAGCAUUGAUAGGAUAGAUUACAGUCUAUAUGUCUCUGAUUUUAAAUGUUAAUUGUAACACAAGAUGAUUAUAUUGUACAUAUUUUUGUUGUUGUUGUUCCGUCUAUUUUGCUGAUUAUACUUGUUUAUUGUUGUUCUUCCGUGUCUGUCGUGUUUUAUCUGUUUGUCUUAAACUUUGUAUUUUAUAUCUUGUGAUUUUUGAUACUACACGACAAAAAUGACCUUGUCGUGUUUUAUCUUGUGAAUUAUUUUAUUCUUUCGCUAUUAGAUUAAUCCAUUUUGUGAAUAAUUUGCGAGCAAGGCCCUCACACACAUAAUUAUACCUUUUGAGUCUUGAAUCAAAAGGCUGUCAAAAAAAAAAAAAAAAAAAAAAAAUCUUGAAUCAAGUUGAUAGAUACAUAUGGGCUUGCGUGAUCUUGAGUCUUGAAUUCAUAAUAGGCGAAUUUGAAUCUUGAACGACUAAUCGAUAACAAACAAACAAAAAAAUAUUAUAUAAUUGGUUAGAGUAGUUAACUCUAUCACGCUUAAUGAGCAUUUUAUAUUUGUCUUUGAAUGACAAUUCAAGUAAAUACUUUAAUUUCAAAAUUGAUGGAUCGUUUUUUCAUUGUACUUUUCUUCGAAUAAUAUUAGAGAUAAUCUUCCACACUUAAAAUAGAUUAAUCUCAUUGUCUCUCAUCCUACAUAAGCUUCUUACUUUAAUUUGUCUACAUCCCUCUUGUCUCAAUUAAGUAUUAUUAUUAACGCUUCAAAUUCUUACUACCUAAACACGUGAACAGUAGUCUUUCAGUAGUCUUUUAAUUUGCGAGUGAAGUUAAUGAAAAAAAUACAAAAUGGUAAGUUUUGGUCAAGAUUUUGACUAUUAAAAUUAAUAUUUGCUCUUGACCACUAAGUAUAUUUUUGUCAUCUCUUUAUUAUGGCUAAAAAUUGACACUUAUCUAAUACUCAUUCAUUGGAUAUAUAUAUAUAAUGUGUAGCAUUUCUGGUCAGUGAAAAUUGACAUACAAGGACUAUGGAUAAAAGGUGGAGUCUCCAAGGUUUGACUGCUCUUGUGACCGGUGGAGCCAGCGGAAUCGGGUUCGUCUAGAUUCUCACUAUAUCAACUCUUUUACCCAUUGUUCUGUUUCUAAAAUUCAUUCUAAAUUGUUAAAGUUUUAAGGAGUUUUAUUAUGUUUAUCGAAUGUUUAGUCAUGCUAUAGUAGAAGAACUCGCCGGUUUUGGGGCCAAAAUCCAUGUGUGUGACAUAUCGAAAACUCUGCUCAAUCAAAGUUUAUCCGAAUGGGAGAAGAAAGGGUUUCAAGUGAGUGGUUCAGUCUGCGAUGCAUCCAAUCGUCUCGAAAGAGAAACACUUAUGCAAACUGUCACCACAAUAUUUGAUGGCAAGCUUAACAUUCUUGUAAGUUAAUCUUAAUUUAAAGAAACUAAGCAUAUCUUUAAGCUAUUUAGAAAUGACAUGAAUAUAUACUCUUUUCUGUUCAAUAUAGGUGAACAAUGUUGGCACAAUUCGCACAAAGCCAACAAUAGAAUAUGAGGCAGAAGAUUUUUCGUUCCUUAUUUCAACAAACUUGGAAUCUGCUUAUCAUCUAAGCCAACUUUCACAUCCACUCCUAAAGGCUUCAGGCAACGGAAUUAUUACUUUUAUUUCCUCUGCUGCAGGGAUCGUAUCAUUUGAUGCUGCAUCCAUUUAUGGUCUAACGAAAGGUAACCAUAGUGAAAAGUUUAAUACUAGAGGAAGUUCAUUGCAAGAAUGACCAAAUAGUAUUGUGGAUUUAUAUAUGUUUCAUUAUGUAUAUUAUAUAUUUGAUUAGGAUAAUUUUCAAUCCCAUUUAAUAAUUUCAAAUGAUAUUUGAGAAGAAUUGUUUUUUUUUUUUUUUUGUGCGUGAAAUCUUAUUUUAGUGUGCUAUGCUAACAUUUUUGGUUUCAGAAAUAUAUAAUUCAGAAGGUCAAAUAUAGGGCAUUCAUAUUCAAUAACAUACAAAAACAAAACUAAUUUAUAACUAUGCAUGUUAUUUAUGGAUAAUAAAUCUUUUUAUUUUUAUUUAGAUGGUUCAUAAAUAUCGCAUUAUGUCUCCGAAAGCUGAUUCUAACGGCUAAUUGAUUGCCCUAGUAUCAUUCGUUUCUAUUUCUAAAUUGGUCUAUCUUUCUUUGGGAAUCCUAAUAGAUGUCUCUCAUAGUCAUAGUAUUAUUUUUUCUUGUUUGUGUAUAUGUUCAGGAGCUUUGAAUCAGCUAGCACGAAAUUUGGCGUGUGAAUGGGCAAAAGACGGCAUUCGAGCCAACGCGGUUGCGCCUAAUUUUAUCACCACUGCUCUGGCUAAACCUGUAACCAAUACACCCUCUCUUUUUUUUCUUUUUUUUCCUUUUAAAAUUAACAUCAUCACCCACUCUUAUUCUUGUUUUUUACAAUCUUGUAAACAUUCAGUUUCUCGAAGACGCUGGUUUUAACGAGAUUUUGUCGAGUAGAACUCCACUUGGUCGCGCUGGAGAACCAAGAGAGGUUGCCUCACUUGUGGCUUUUCUGUGUCUACCUGCUGCUUCAUAUAUUACUGGUCAGACCAUUUGUGUUGAUGGAGGUCUCACUGUUAAUGGCUUCUCAUAUCAGCCAUAGGCUUGAGCCAUGUCUUGUCUUGUCUUGUGUGUUGUGGAGUAUGGUCAUAUGGUCAGUAUCUCCAUAAUCUAAAUCCAUAGAUAUGUGAGUUGUGGAGUAGACACAAUUUUUCAAUAAUGGAAUAUCUAUUUACCAGUUCCGUAUUAUGCAUGCAUUCUCCAUGACAACGCUUCUCAUAACGAAUAUAAUUACGUGGAUCAUAAUACUAUGAGGAUUGAUAUCAUUGAGAUGGAGUAGACACAGUUAUUUUCUUCUUCCCUUGCCAUUAGCAAUUUCAAUUGUAUCUAUGCUUGAAAUACUUAAAUGGCAUUUACUUCUUAACUAAAAAGCGAAAGGAGGGAAAGAACAAGUCAUUACAAGAUACUAUAAUAAUUAGAAAUUAAAAGAGUAUAAUUACAUCUUCCCAAAUGUGUCAAAUAUUCAGCAAAAACUCUGUCAAUAGAAAUGAACAAACGGUAUUUUAAAGUAAUACAAUGGGUAAACUUUAGAUAUUUUGUAAAAACCUAAUUAGAAAAAAAAUUUGGAAAUCUUAGUUGAAGAUAACUACCCAAAUUAUGAAAAAAAAAACAUUUGCCUUCUUGUUACCUAACUAACACGUUGAAUGUUUUACAAAAAUUUUGUUCACCAGUCUAACUGACUUGUCGUUUCAGUUGUCAUCUUUUGAAUGAAAUUAAUGGAAAAGAAAGAAACAAAAAUGAGUAAGUUUAGAUCAAGAUUUUGACUAUUAAAAGUCAUAUUUGCUCUUGACCACUGACUUGUAUAUUUUGUCAUGUUAUUUAUUAUGGCUAAUAUAUCCACCACACAUACAAACAUACUCAUUAAUUGACCCUUAUCUUUUAUUUUUAUGGUAAGAAAAUUGACACUUAUCUAAUACUCACUAGGUGUGUAUAUAUAAUGUAGCAUUUCUGGUCAUUGAAAGUAACUUACAAGCAAAAUGGACAAAAGAUGGAGUCUCAAAGGUAUGACUGCUCUUGUGACCGGUGGAGCCAGUGGAAUCGGGUUCGUCUUUCUUCUCUGUUCUCUCUAUGUCAUCUAUUUUACCCAUUGGUCUGAAUCUGUUUGAACAUUAAGAUUUGAAGUAGUUUAUGUUUCUGGAAUGUUUUAGUUAUGCCAUAGUAGAAGAGUUGGCUGGUUUUGGAGCUAGAAUCCAUGUAUGUGACAUCUCUGAAGCUAAGCUCAAUCAAAGUUUAAGCGAAUGGGAAAAGAAAGGUUUUCAAGUAAGUGGCUCAGUUUGUGAUGUAGCCUCUCGUCCCGAGAGAGAAGAACUGAUGCAAACCGUCUCCUCGCAGUUCGAUGGCAAACUCAACAUUCUUGUAAGUAAAUUAAUUUAAAGAUACUAUCAAGUUAAUCAUAUUCGUGGGGGAAAUCUUUUAAAGACCAAUUUUUUCAACAUGCAUAGGUAAGCAAUGUGGGCGUAAUCCGCUCAAAGCCAACAACAGAAUAUACCGAAGACGAUUUCGCUUUUCAUAUAUCAUCAAACGUGGAAGCUGCUUACCAUUUUAGCCAGCUUUCACAUCCUCUCCUAAAGGCUUCAGGCUAUGGAAGCAUCAUCUUUGUUUCCUCUAUUGCAGGGGUUAUAUCUUUUGACGCUGGAUCCAUUUAUGGUCUAACAAAAGGUAGCCAGAGACAGAGUUUUUAGUAGAUGGAUAGUGUUCAUUGCAAGACUGACUAAUAAAUCUUUUAUGUUCUAUGUUUUGUUGAUUUAUUAUCCAGGAGCUUUGAUUCAGCUAGCUAAAAAUUUGGCAUGUGAAUGGGCAAAAGACGGCAUAAGAGCCAACGCUGUUGCGCCUAAUGUCAUCAAUACUCCUCUGUCUCAAUCUGUAAUAAACUAACAACUUUUUCUUUUCUUUUUUUAUGUGAAUGUAACAACGAUUUUAUGUGAAUUAAUCUAACCCUCUCUUAAUUGUGUUUCUGCAAGUAUCUUGAGGACGUCAGUUUCAAGAAGGCAUUGUUGAGUAGGACUCCACUUGGUCGUGUUGGAGAGCCAAAUGAAGUUGCAUCACUAGUGGCCUUCUUGUGUCUACCUGCAGCUUCUUAUAUUACUGGUCAGACUAUUUGUGUUGAUGGAGGUCUCACCGUUAAUGGCUUCUCCUAUCAGCCAGAGGUUUGAGUAUG
rnacentral:lncRNA from 1 species